AUGCUAGGAUGUGAUGGGGAAGCCCUCCGGGGCGAAGUAGCUGAUUUCACACUGUCAAGAAAAGCUUCUAUCGAGUUUAAAGGCGCCCGUACCGUAAACCGACACAGGUGGGUGAGGAGAGUAUCCUAAGGCCAGCGAGAGAACUAUUGUUAAGGAACUCGGCAAAAUGACCCCGUAACUUAGGGAGAAGGGGUGCCUGUCUAUGACAGGCCGCAGAGAAUAGGCCCAAGCGACUGUUUACCAAAAACACAGGUUUCUGCUAAGUCGCAAGACGAUGUAUAGGAGCUGACGCCUGCCCGGUGCUGGAAGGUUAAGGGGAUCUGUUAGAGCAAUCGAAGCAGUGAACUUAAGCCCCAGUAAACGGCGGCCGUAACUAUAACGGUCCUAAGGUAGCGAAAUUCCUUGUCGGGUAAGUUCCGACCCGCACGAAAGGCGUAACGAUUUGGGCACUGUCUCAGCAAUAGACUCGGUGAAAUUGUAAUCCCGGUGAAGAUGCCGGGUACCUGCGACAGGGCGGAAAGACCCCAUGGAGCUUUACUGUAGCUUGACGUUGGGUCUUGGUACUACAUGUACAGGAUAGGUGGGAGACUAUGAAGCAUGGACGCCAGUCUGUGUGGAGUCAUCCUUGGGAUACCACCCUUGUAGUACUGGGAUCCUAACCAUAGGCCUUGAAUCAGGUCUUGGAACACCGUCAGGUGGGCAGUUUGACUGGGGCGGUCGCCUCCUAAAAAGUAACGGAGGCGCUCAAAGGUUUCCUCAGCACGGUCGGAAAUCGUGCGAAGAGUGUAAAGGCAAAAGGAAGCUUGAUUGCAAGACAUACAGGUCGAGCAAGGACGAAAGUCGGACUUAGUGAUCCGGUGGUACCGCAUGGAAGGGCCAUCGCUCAACGGAUAAAAGCUACCCUGGGGAUAACAGGCUUAUCUCCCCCAAGAGUCCACAUCGACGGGGAGGUUUGGCACCUCGAUGUCGGCUCAUCACAUCCUGGGGCUGUAGUAGGUCCCAAGGGUUGGGCUGUUCGCCCAUUAAAGUGGUACGCGAGCUGGGUUCAGAACGUCGUGAGACAGUUCAGUCCCUAUCCGUCGCAGGCGUAGGAAAUUUGAGAAGACCUGUCCUUAGUACGAGAGGACCGGGAUGGACGUACCUCUGGUGUACCAGUUGUUCUGCCAAGGGCAUGGCUGGGUAGCUAUGUACGGAAUGGAUAAGCGCUGAAAGCAUCUAAGCGCGAAGCCAACUUCAGGAUAAGAUUUCCCACCGUAAGGGUAAGACCCCAGGAAGACUACCUGGUUGAUAGGUCGAAG
rnacentral:rRNA from 1 species